rnacentral:rRNA from 1 species
GACUAACGCUGACGGUGUGCAUAAUACAUGCAAGUCGAACGGGCAAUAGAAAAGUGGCAACACUUUUUAAAGCUAGUGGCGAACGGGUGCGUAACACGUGGGCAAUCUGCCUUGAAGAUUGGGAUAACUCCUCGAAAGAGGAGCUAAUACCGAAUGUGCUGUAUUUUUCGCAUGUUUAAUACAGUAAAAGUAGCUGCAAGGCUUCUGCUUCAAGAUGAGCCCGCGGCCUAUUAGCCAGUUGGUAGGGUAACGGCCUACCAAAGCUAUGAUGGGUAGCCGGUCUGAGAGGACGGUCGGCCACACUGGGACUGAGAUACGGCCCAGACUCCUACGGGAGGCAG